AAAAAAUAAGGCCUGGUACGCACUUCUUGAUACAUGGAAUCCCUAAAUACAUAACAAGACUUUAGAGAGAUGGGGCAGGGAAUUAAUCACACAAUUAAGACCCAUUGGCUGGAUAGCUGUAUUCAUUUACAAUAACGUAUUCAUUAUCUCUCCACUAAAGAACUUCACAUUAAAAUAGCCCAUUGAUGGCAUUACACAUCUGAUAUUGUUUUUAAAAAUUGGGGCGAUUGAUAACUCAUGCUGCUAGUGAUUGUAAUAAAGAUCAGGG